GCCUCGCUGGCUCAGUUGGAAGAGCAUGUGACUCUUGAUCUCAGGGUGGUGAGUUUGAGCCCCAUGUUGGGCA
rnacentral:tRNA from 1 species